UGGGAACGAUUUGUUUCGGCCUGACUUUUCUGUUCAUUUUAAGCAGCAAAAGUGAGGCGCAUGUCUGUGUACGUGUGUAUGGAGCCACUGGGUGCGGUCACUAUAGCAACCAGGCUCACACCUGCCUGCUUAACGACCUCUGCCUGCCACUGUACCAAGAUUCAUCUUAAGCACUUCUCUUUCAACUGCUGCUGUGUCCACAGUGUUACAGCCAUCAUUUUACCCUCAAAACGUCGCCAUUAUUGUUCUCUUUCCAACACCGUAUCUUUCAAAGCUCAGGCAUUUAAACUUUUUAAACUGUGUGUAUCAAAGUGGAGGGAUCACAUUUUAGUCAUUCAGUGAUUCAAAGAAUAUGACCUUUUAAUAUUCAUUCAGAUGUUUUCUGACUCUAAAUGUUCUUUUCUCAGUUCUUAGGGUUUUCUAAUUUACAUUUAAAACAUUUUCAGUUUUUUUCCAACUUCUUCUUCUGUGUAACCUUCAGCUUUUAGCAGUUCAGCACCUUUGUUUUCAGGUUAAAUUCAUUUUUUUUUUUUUGUUUUUUUAAAAUCUCAUUCAAUAUUUUUAACUCAAAAUUCAGCAAUUAAUUCAUUUCAGUGCAUACAUUCAGAUUCAAGCAUUCACACUGCAGUUUCUUCAGAAAAUGCACUUUCUAGUUAUUAUUAUAUAUUCCGUACGUUUUUUGGCAUCUCACUCCUUCAAAACCGUUCAACUUAGAAAAACCAUUCAAACACCGUUAGAUUCCUAUUCUUUUGGACAACACUGCUUCUAUUUUUCUCAUUUUUAACAUUUAUAUUUUUAAUUUUAUUCAACCUUUUUCAACAAAAAUUUAUAAUGUAUUUCAAUGGGGAGACCCUUCAAAUCCUCAUUCAACUUACUCAUUUUUAAACUCUUACUACUUCCACAUACAUUGACAUAGAGCCACCAUUCAAACUUUAAAACGAAGACAAGACAUUCAACUAUUCAACUUGUAUUUAUCUUUUCAAUAUCUAUUAUACUUUUUCUUCAGUUCCAGUUUAAGUUUCAUGAUGUUUUUUCACCCGUUUCAGAGUUUAUAAUGGGUGUGUAUGGGACGGAAUGUUGGGGCUAGAGUGAGACAGCUCAACUGCUAGAGUGAGAGGAGCAAAAAAAUUAAUCUUAAAAUCUUUUUUAAAACUGCUGCUGUGUCCACAGCGUUUGC
ensembl:lncRNA